CACUGUCUUUUUGACGUGGAAAAUUCAACGUUCAUUGCCUUGCGGAUAUUCUUCGACUGGCUGAUGAUUACCUUUUGAAAAACGAAAGGUUGCCCCGCAGCAUAAGUUUUCAUGUAUUGGAUACUCUACGUCAUACUUGAAUGCAGCUGUACAAGAGAAAAAAAUUUUCCUGGGCUGCCGUUACGGGACAAUUGUCGGCAAUCAGCAUGGAGAGUACCAUCUUGCUAGACACACUGAAGCCGGCCGAUUCGAAAAACGUUUUAUUUUUUUGCAGUAGGGCGGCCACUGAAUCCCACGUCAUCAAAACUCCUUCCUGAGCUUCAACUACUGUCCGAACUACUUGUUGUAAAGACUGUAAGGUAAUACUACCACCAUUUUCUUUCAAAUGGGCAAACGAACGCCUUGACAACAGAGUGUCAAGAGGUGGUAAAAAGACGUCCCUUUCUUCGUUUAAACGGACAUCCAGGCACUGAUUAUUCCCAGGGUCCAAAAGUCCUUUUCUCUCGAAAUUACAGAGACGGCCCAGACUGGCGUCAAGAGCGACUUCAAACGGCUCUGUCUCAGGAUUGCCACUACCCUCGACGAGUUUAAAGAUCAGCAUAUCGAUCAGGUGAUGGCCGUGGACCAAAUGAAACAUUUUGUUUGAUGAUGUCGUUUGAAGUGCUAUUCGAUCGUUGCUUUUAACGACGAAAAAAUUGGUCCAUCUUGGUUCAUUCAGCGGUUUCAAUGUCAGCACAGCAUCUAUAUCGAGGAAGAGGCCACCACCUCUAAACAGUGAUAUAGCCCGAACGUAAUCGGAUAAUUGAAUGUCUUGUUGACCAUUGUUUUGCCAUUGCUCUUCCAUGUACCAAGUUUCUAAUGUCGUAUCGUUAAAAUAUUCGUCUUCUUUGUAGAAAAUCACUUCCACAUUGGGGUAGUGUUGCAGAACCGUCAGCCAUGGCGAUGGAUUGCUACCGUUGUUGUUUACUAACUUCUGUUGCUGUUCAUCAUCUAAUUCUCUACGAGACAUGAAGAGUUGAACUUGACGAUUGGGGUUGUUUUUUGCUGCAGAUUCGACAGCGCAGCAUUGGCGUGCGGUGAGUUCACCGUAACCUGUGGUCUCGUGCAUGUAAAUUCGUUGACUGUCGAUCGCUCUCAGUUCAGUAAUUCGCCAUUCAGAAAUGCGUGCUGAUCUUUUGGUUACCUCUUGUGAGUGAAUACCUUCUUUAAAGUGUUCAGAAUUGAAUCGAAUUCCAUGAAGACGGUCUUGAGCGAUGAGCCAGAUGUGACACGCGAAGAUUAUUGCGACUAAGAACAACGUGAAGGCGACUAAGAAAUUGUAGAGUCUCUGGAAAAUGGUAGUCAAUGUUCAAUGUUACUGAUAGAGAAUAUCGUUUUCUUUUAACUUCACUCACCAUUUUGAAUUUUCCAUAAGUGUCUGUUCCUAUCCCCUAGCCGUUUAAGAAUGCUGUUGCCCUGACCCGAAAUGUUGCAACGUGUAAGCAACGCUCGUGCGUUAAGACUUAAAAAUAGAGAAGGUAAAGGGUGCCAACCAAUGGCAGCGCAUUAGGAUGGAAGUAAACUCCUCCCGGGGGUAGGAUGGUUCGUAAACGAAAACGUUCUGUUUGCACUUUCUUUAUCUUAGUAUGUUAACUUUUAAAACCAACUGGAAUGUAGUUCGCCCUAUUUUCGCUGUUUGGUCAAAUAGCACAGGUAAUGUUGUGAAAUCCUGGAUAAAUUCUCGAGUUACGGAAGAUCGGGAAUAUAUUCGUGCAGUCAACUCGUAAGCCCCGAGACUAUUGGACUUCCAUUGCGUUUCGUUAACGUUAUUCCACAUCCAGUAGUUUUAGUAAGGAACACGGAACUUGGUUAUGUAACAGCCCUGGUGUCUGUAAGAAUGAGAAGUUUAGGAAAAGUCCGCGGGAGAUAAGCCACUAGAUGAAAGAAAUUGCCAAACACCAAUCGAGAAUGCACUGAAACGACAACCUGCAAAAAACGUUUCAUGGCUUCACUUUUAAUCACAUACUGUAAAUGAAAUGAACAGAACAAGAUAUUAAUGAAUUUAAAUAAACCUUACAAAUUGUUUAUGGUAAAAGAUGCAUGAGAUCAAGAAAUUAAAUCCUCGUCCUGAACA